rnacentral:rRNA from 2 species
UUUGAGUGAGUGGCGAAUGUGUGAGUACACGUGGGAAACCUGCCCAGAAGCGGGGGAUAACACCUGGAAACAGAUGCUAAUACCGCAUAACAACUUGGACCGCAUGGUCCGAGCUUGAAAGAUGGCUUCGGCUAUCACUUUUGGAUGGUCCCGCGGCGUAUUAGCUAGAUGGUGGGGUAACGGCUCACCAUGGCAAUGAUACGUAGCCGACCUGAGAGGGUAAUCGGCCACAUUGGGACUGAGACACGGCCCAAACUCCUACGGGAGGCAGCAGUAGGGAAUCUUCCACAAUGGACGAAAGUCUGAUGGAGCAACGCCGCGUGAGUGAAGAAGGGUUUCGGCUCGUAAAACUCUGUUGUUAAAGAAGAACAUAUCUGAGAGUAACUGUUCAGGUAUUGACGGUAUUUAACCAGAAAGCCACGGCUAACUACGUGCCAGCAUCCCGGUAAUACGUAGUGGCAAGCGUUGUCCGGAUUUAUUGGGCGUACAGCGAGCGCACGCGGUUUUUAAGUCUGA